UACGUAGGGGGCAAGCGUUGUCCGGAAUCAUUGGGCGUAAAGAGCGCGUAGGCGGCCCAGUAAGUCCGCUCUGAAAGUCAGGGGCUCAACCCCUGGAUGCGGGUGGAUACUGCUGGGCUAGAGUCCGGAAGAGGUGAGUGGAAUUCCUGGUGUAGCGGUGAAAUGCGCAGAUAUCAUGGGGAACACCAAAAGCGAAGGCAGUACAUUGGGCCACUCCUGACACUGAAACACGAAAGCGUGGGUAGCGAAUGGG
rnacentral:rRNA from 1 species